UCAUUUUCUUCUCUAAAGAUGUCCAAGAGUUGGAUAUAAAUAAAAUCAGAUUUGAUCUGAUUUUUUUCUCUCCCUAUUGGUUCAUAAGAUUGACACAAAAUUCUCCUCUUCCUCUCUUACAAAUAUGUUUGAGUGUUGGAUAUGUUUGAACUCAGAUUUGAUCUAAUUUUUGCCUCUUCCUAUUGGUCCAUGAGAUGGAUACAAAAAGUUCUCCUCUACCUUUCCUAAAUC
rnacentral:lncRNA from 1 species